GACGUAGGGCGCGAGCGUUGUCCGGAUUUAUUGGGCGUAAAGAGCUCGUAGGCGGCUUGUCGCGUCGAAUGUGAAAACUCGGGGCUCAACUCCGAGCUUGCAUUCGAUACGGGCAGGCUAGAGUUCGGUAGGGGAGACUGGAAUUCCUGGUGUAGCGGUGAAAUGCGCAGAUAUCAGGAGGAACACCGGUGGCGAAGGCGGCUCACUGGACCGGUACUGACGCUGAUGCGCGAAAGCGUGGGGAGCAAACGGG
rnacentral:rRNA from 1 species